GGCUUCCUCAGUAGAGAUGUUUUUCUUUGUGGCUGGCUUGUUAUCAAAAUAAGCUGUUGAGGGGGGAUGUUCCACAUUUUAGUGGUUUUGUGUUCAUUAAAACUUGAGUGCAAGCCAAAGUUCAGGGCCUUGGCUGAAGUUUGAUCAAGCCAAAGUUAGAUGUGUGAGUCGUGGGCAAUUGUGAGUACCUGGUCACAAGGAGAGGUGUUCAGGUGUAAGGUAAAAUAGAGUGAUUGGUGAGGAACUGACAUAUUAGCCGACUUUAAGUAAAAGAGAGCUCAAAGGCUUGAAAGUUACAAGAGAGCAACACAGGCUGCUAUCAGGAGAACAGCAUUCUAGGCAGAGGGAAGGGCCAGCACAAAGCACUGAGGCAGGAGCAGAACUGUUGGGGUUGAAAAAUGAAAUGAUGAGUUGUAUUUUCCAAAGAUUGCCCCAGUAAUGUCUCCCGUCUCACUGCUCCUCUGUGAUGCAACUUUGCCACAUUUCCAGGAACAAGAAAAAUGUAUUUCUCCAUGCACAUGAAACCUGUUUCUCCUCACAUACAGCAAUAUUUAUUGAGCAUUUGCUUUACAUCAGAUAUUUCCUAGACUUUGGGGAUAGAAAGCCAAAUGAAAUGUUCCUCUAAGGAAUUUAUGACUAUCCCAUCAAUUAAAGAAUAUUUACUGCUGUGUGACUACAUGUAAGACACCGUGCUGAAUGCAAUGAGAAAUACAAAUGUGGUGAGAGGCACAUGUUCAGUCUAAUUGGAAACAUUGCAGAAGCACAGAUUAUUCAGCUCACUGGAAGCAAAGCCUACAAGAAAUGCCACAAGCAAGCGAAGGUGUCAGUAGGGGGCAGCAUAUAAGAUUAUAUGCUCAAUGAUGAAGAAGUAGCCCAAACUGAAAAAGAUUUAGAGAAGCUUCACAGGAAGGCAAAUGAAUAGAAAAAAUGCAGGAUGAGGAACAUGGGUAUUAGAAAUCAAUAAGAAGGCAAUUAUGGAGAAAGAAAAUUGAUAUAAAAAUUAAAUGUGACAAUAUGAAUGAGAUUGAAGGACACUCUGCUAAGUGUAAUAGGCCAGUCAUAGGACAAUCUAGUUCCACUUAUAUGAGGUAUCAAAUAAUCUGUGCUUUUAGGCAUCCAAGGAACUUCUUGGAACACAUUCCCUGCAGAUGAGGAGGGACUAAGUUUGUUAAAAGGGUAGGUCUCCUAUUAAAUGUUCUUGCUACCAUAAGAAAACAAUAAAAACUCAAAAGCUCUGGGCGCUGAGACAGGAGGAUCAUAAGCCUCAGCAACUUAGAAAGGUCUGAGCAAAUUAGUGAGAACCUGUCUCAAAAUUGAAAAAUAAAAAAUAAAAACAAAAAGGGCUGGAGAUAUAGCUCAGUAGUUAAGUGCCCCUGGGUUCAAUCCCUGGUACCAAAAACCAAACCAAAAACAAAAACAAAACAAACAACCUUCAGAUAGGAAUAUUUUAAAAGGUGGUGAUACAUCACAAAUGGAAAAGACCGUGCACAUGAUUUUGGAGAAUGGCCUUUUUCUGAACCAUGGCAGGGGAGGGGUUUGGUGAACGUGGAAGAUCUGGACCAUUGGAUGCAUCAAACAAUUUAUAUUUUAAGAAAACCAAUCUAGAGGUGGAAGAUGGGGUGGAGUGUGGAUGGGGCAUGACUCAAAUAAUGCCACUGAAGUGGAUUUCUACAUAGACUAGUACAGGUCCUUUAAAGCUUUUCAACCGUACUGAGGCUCUCCCUUUCUAUCAAUGCAUGUGGUUUUGUACAUUUAUGAUGGGGGUGUGAGUCCAUGGGGGUGUGAGUCCGAGACUGCAAGGAAGAUCUCUUUGUUAACACAAGAGUCAUAGGUACUCAGUUUUUGCUGCCUGGAAUGUCAUUCAUUCCUUCACAUUCUAACUAUCCUAGGUGCAUAAGAAUUCAAUUGCAAUACUUGGGUUUUCCAUAGAUCUUACAACAAAAAAGUGCUUAAUUUGUUUUAGGAUUUAUAUGUCUCUUAUUUUCUGAUUUUCAAUCAUAUAUUAACAAACACUGAUACUUUCAUGUCUUCUGAUCUCAUUUGUAUACCCACCCACUUACCUGCUCCCACACAGAGGUUUCUGAGCAUAAUGCCUGACACUUACUGUCUCUCAAAAAGUAAUAUUUCAUGAUUGUCUUCCUUUCCCCGCUUUGAAGGUGUUUUGAAAAAUUGUCCAGUAAAUGUCAGAGUUAAAUGCUUUCAUUUUAGAGUCUUCAUCAACGCCUUCUAUUGUUUUAACUCUCUUCAUCUCGUCCUGAAACUCAGAAAUUUCUUUUUUUUUAAUUCUUUUAUUCAUUAAAAUUAUUUACUGAGCACUUACUACAUGGGUAACUGACACCCAGACAUGACCCACCCACCAGUUCUACAGAGGCCCGAAUCUCCCAAGGAAGUCAGACAUUGAUUUCAAUCUUUGUAGUAGAGAUAAGAGAUACCACACAAGCACAAGCAAAUUGCUGAAGUUCUCAUUUUAUUCCAAUUUUUAUUAAUUAAUAUAUUUAUUAGUGCUUGAUAAAUUGAUUAAAUUCAAAUGUGUAAAUUUCACAGAUAUUUUCCCCCCCCAGAAUUUUAUCAGAAAUGUAAUAUAAUUUGUUACCCUUGCAUUGUUUUAUUUAUGAUUUGUGUUGUCAUUUUCCUUUUC
rnacentral:lncRNA from 1 species